rnacentral:lncRNA from 1 species
GCUGGAUGUAGUCGGCCAGGGCGCUCUGCUGGAACUGCUUCAGUUCAGGGCCAGACAGGCUGAGCGUGGAGCAGGCCUUGCCGUCGCGCUCGAAGAGGCGUCGCCGGUCGGCCACGGUGCUCUCCGAGAAGCGCAGCUGCGCUGGCCUCUGUGGGACGCAGUGCACGGACUCAGCCUCCUCCGAGACCCCGACCUCGUUCAUCUUCUCCGGCUCCGAGUAGGAACGCUUCUUCUGCUCGGCUGUGAGGCGCCGGCGUGCCCCUCUGCGGGCAGCCUGGGGUGCAGGCGGGGUCCCUGUGGCCGGGGUCACGCUGUGUCUCUCCCG